UGUCACUCUCUGUGGGACCUGGGAAAGCUCCGGCCCACCCGGAGGAGGAGGAAGAGGACAGAAGGGGCUGAGGCUUUGGCCUCAUGAGCUCUGGAAACAAGUUUGAUCUCAUUUUUUUCCAGAUGGGCGAUUCCUGAGACACAGAUUUUACAAAGAAUAUCCAGAGGGUGACUCGAAGAACGUGGCAGAACCCGGAAAGGGGCAGCCAAGGAGCUUCCAGUAGAGCAGCGCCCAGCCGGCAGUCCCGGCCCAAGAACAUUCCUCCUCUUCCCACCAAGCCUCGAUGCAGGAAAGUGGCCUGACCCCCAGAGGCCACUGCAGAGCAUGAGCCCAGAGCUCCUGGCCCCCAUCCCAGCUUGGCCCUGGCUGAAGCGGUGACUCAGUGGGAGCCCCUGGCCAGCUCUGGGUCCCUGCUCACCACCCUGGACACAGGUCCCUGCAGCGCCUCGUGAUCUCUGCCUGGGAAGGCGCCUCCGCGGGUGUGAGGCCAGAAGCCCCUCCCCAGGACAGGGCUCAGCCUCGCGGUGCUUUCUGCAGAUUUCUUCCAGGUGUGACUCUGGCAGGCACAUGCCCCUCCCAAGUGCUCUCCAAAUAAAUCCGCCUUGGUAGAAUGGAGAUGAA